rnacentral:lncRNA from 1 species
UGGGAUUCGGCCAAAUAGACUAUUUUUUGGCGGGAUUUUAUAUUCUGGUCAAAUUUUAUUAUUUUCGAUUAUUUGAAAAUAGCUUGGGAUAAAUUAUUCCACCAUUUUCGUAGAAUAGCAUUAUUUUAAAUUUUAUUAAGAACAUAAAUUGAAUUAAGAUAAAUUAUGUGGACAUAAUAUAUCACAUAUUAUAAUAAAUUAAUUUUAUUCUAAAAUUAUUAAUUGUACCAUAUUAAUACAUAUUAUUUAUACUUAAAAAAUUAUAAUAAAUUCUACUUAAAUAUUUGAUCAUUAUUUUUAUUAAAUUUAAGUUUAAGUAGAAUUUUUUAAUAUAAUAAAAUAUUUCUAUGAAAUCAUAUUUAACAAUAAAUUAUUUUUAUUAAAUAUUAUAAAAAAAUAUUUUUAUUAAAUCAUAUUUUGUAUCAAACUCAAUCACCACCUUUUCCAUUAUCUUCUACGAUUCCAUACAAUUUAUAAAAUACAAUUUCAUUUAUUCCUUAAANACCACCUUUUCCAUUAUCUUCUACGAUUCCAUACAAUUUAUAAAAUACAAUUUCAUUUAUUCCUUAAAACAGCAAAUUACAAGCCAAAAACAAUUUUACUUUUAUUCCAUAUUAUUAUGGAAUAGUAAAUUAUCCCAAAAAUAAAUAAUUUAUUUUAAUGUUCAUUAUCCCACAAUUAAUCAAAUACAAUUUCAAUUAUUUCUGAAAAUAGGAGAAUUACAAAGUAAACACAAUUU